GACGAACGCUGGCGGCGUGCUUAACACAUGCAAGUCGAACGGCAAGGCACUGCUUUUGUGGUGUGCUCGAGUGGCGAACGGGUGAGUAACACGUGAGUAACCUGCCCUUGACUUUGGGAUAACUUCAGGAAACUGGGGCUACUACAGGAUAGGAGCUCCUGCUGCAUGGUGGGGGUUGGAAAGUUUCGGCGGUUGGGGAUGGACUGGCGGCUUAUCGGCUUGUUGGUGGGGUAGUGGCUUACCAAGGCUUGGACGGGUCGGCGGCCUGCGAGGGUGACCGGCGACCUUGGGACUGAGAGACGGCCCAGACUCCUACGGUAGGCAGCAGGGGGGAAGAUUGCACAAUGGGCGGAAGCCGGAUGCAGCAACGCCGCGUGCGGGAUGACGGCCUUCUUGGUGUAAACCGCUUGCGCCUGUGACGAAGGGUGAGUGACGGUAAUGGGUAGAGAAGCACCGGCUAACUACGUG
rnacentral:rRNA from 1 species